GACAACUUAUGGAGGAGAACUAUUUUACCUUAUUUUUCUACCUAAACUAUGAUCAUCAAAUAUAAUGUGACUAAAACAUAAAAAAAAGUGAAUUUCUUAGGUUCUAGUAAAAUGGAUUUGUAUAUACACGCAAAGCUAUGUGGUUUAUAUAUGCAUGAUGUAAAUACACACAUACAUAAACUUUAGUGUAAUUUGUACCCACGCCACAUGAGCAACCUGCACUUAUUCACUAGUAAAGAGCGAGUCGUGGCCCCGUAUUUAUCUGGCACUCGUGACACGAUAGCGUGAAACACUGCCACGUCGAACAUUCGGGCAAUGAGCCACGCAUUAUUAUAGUACGGGCCCUUGUUUCUGUCGCACUUUGCAAAUCCAGAAUGCUGCUGCACAUGCACAACCUUGUAUACCACCUCGAGGUUGCACUGCCGUUUUUAAAUUCUAUCAAGUCAGUGGCCGAGAGGAAUAAAAAAGGGAAGAAAAGUAAGGCCUAGAAGAAGAGCAUACAUCAAACCGAGCUCACAAAGACAGGAAGCGUUUGAGCUUUUUUUUAUAUAUUGCCGUAGCUAUACAGUAGAGGCUCAUGAGGCGUAACCUGGGUUUCAGACGAGACGCUCAGCGAAUGUGGGGUAAAUACGAAUAAAAUAUCAAUAAUAUCGUCGAUACGUCGGCCCAACGCUAGAGGAAAGAGAUAAGGGUUCUUGGGAAGUAGUACUGUACGCAAACACGUAAAAGCAUGUACAUAUAGUAUAUAUUUCGACAACUACGUUUCUUUCCACUAACGUUACUGUGUACAAUACGAUGCUUGAAGAUUUAUACAGAAUAUUUUUACCGUCAAAAAGUGCGGUCGAAGCCGACCUCUUAGACGAUGUUGGAUAUACCUAAAUGUACAUUCAGGUUCUCCAUUAUAUCAAGGGAUAUAUGCAUUCGCGUGUACCGAGAGGAUAGCUUCAUAAAAAAAAGAUAGAAACUGCGGAAAACCGCCUUCGGUGCACUUGCAUGAUGCCGCUCAAGUCCUCAGAAUCCGUCGAGUAAAGCCAGUACUUAUUGUAUUUUCGUGUAUAUACUUUCCUUACAAGAAUAUGAAACACGUGCACUCUUCGGAAUCAUGUAUUCUUUAAGAAAAUCUUUCAAUCCAACUCAAAAACCAUUUCAAGGGGUUUCAAUAGUAUUAAAAUAUUCCACAUUGCAAUGGAUGUUUAUAGAUAAAAUUGUUUUUUUUAAAUAUUUUCUUAUAUACAUGUUAGAAAAUCGUAAUGCUAAUUGAAUUUAUGCUCCAUGAAUUUAAUAUUUACAAUUUUCUUUAUUUUUCCAAAGGCAUCGAUACGAUAGUUAAAUACAUUAAUUUAUAAAAUAUACUAAUUACAGUAUGUAAUUAUUAUAAUAAUGAAAUAAAUUUAUCAAUUUAUUUAGGAAAUAUUUUAAAUGACUUAACAUCUGGAUAAGUAAUAGAUUACUUAUCCAGAUGUUAAGUCAUUUAAUAUACAGAUCUGUAUAUUCAUAGUCCAUUACGUUGUGUCCACAAAUUAAUUAUUAUAUUGAUUAUCAAUAUUAUUAUAUUCAUUAUCAAUAUUACUAUAUAUUGAUUUUAUCAAUAUUAUUAUAUUGAUUUUUUUUGUAGUCGGAAGUAGAAAAUCUAUAAAUUUAGAUACCUGGUUAGAUAAAUCCAGGUUAUGUGGGGAUGACCGCUCUUGUUCUGAUCGACCCACUAAAAACCACUCCCGUCUUGAUUUGGGAUACUUUGAUCCACCUGCAGCACUACCGUCAGGCCUUAAACUUCGCAAGAGUUGGUCCACUUGUCCUGCUCUUUAAUUUUCCAUUUAUCCUCUCAUGCAAUGUCUAAGCAAGGACGGAAGGAAAAGCUAAAUGUUUUCCUCCCCCACGCUCACACACUUCUGAGCACUGGAUUCUUCCGGUCAACCUCGUAUUUCGUCUCUGAUAUCUUUUCCCCAUUAAUUUAAAUAAUGAAGGAUUAAAUAUGUCUCCGCGAGUCCAGGUUUUGAACCUUGUAGCUUCCUGAUCCUACGACGUGGUUAGUUUUCUCCUUCCCGUCCCGUCGAACUUCUUUUCGCAUAAGAAGCAACACAGGCUCUUUUUAAAGUCUGCUAUCUUGUGGUCGGCUUCUCCGCACUUGAAGCACGCAGCUGACCUAUCUACCGAUUUACAAUCUUUGCCUAUAUGACCAUAGUCAAGGCUCCUAUGACACCUUGUGACCAUAACUCUUUUCCUCACUGGACAAGACAAAAAGCCAACCCUUAUGUAUCUGAGACGUUCCAGAUUCUCUGCAUCUUUCUGUGUGGUUAACAAUAGCGAGCACCUAACACCUCGUUUGUUAGGUCCCAGGUCAGUUAUCUUUCUUCUUCCUACUGGCAUUGCCGAAACUCUAUCCAGAGACUACAAUCUGUACCUCACCCAGGUCACCAAUCAUCCUAGUCACCUCGUUGAUGAAGUUCUCCUUAUCAGAAGAACCUCUAAGUUUGAUAAAGAGGUCCCACUUUUUGGUGGGUAAAGCUUCCACACAGAUUGUAUUGCUUUUUUCUGUGUUUACCUCCUCACGGAUCUUUCCUAGAACUGCUGCGAACGUCGAACCCUUUAGCCACCUUAACAAUCAUUGAUGACCUUUUCUGUGGCCUUCCUUCUAUCUGUGUUUGGUCCUUCGGCUUUUUUGGAAGUCCUUCAUUCUUCUUUGAUUUUUUAUUCAACUCAGGACUGUUCCUCUUCCGCUUCUGACCUACCAGGACGACAUUUAUUAACACUACAGCGUUUAAGCGGUCGCGUCUCACUCUUCGAUCUUGUCUUGAUUCCUCUGACCACACUAAUUGUUUGUAGAACCUCUACCAACAAUCCUCUAUCUACUCUUUUUUGCAGCUGCGUGCUUCUUCUUAAUCUCCUGUAUGAGCGUUGUUAUGCUUUUCAGUCCGUUUUUAAUCGUCAUAUUGACGUUUUUCUGGACAUCACAGGACUUCAGCAUCUUAGUGGCCUCGUCCUCCAUUCUUUGAAUACAAGCUGCUUCUUCCUCCAGAAGACUUAUAGCUUGUUCUCGAUCUUUAUUACAGCAAGCAAUGUCAUUAGCCAAAGCAUUACUGAAGACAGAAAUGCAGCUGGCUUGACUUGUAACGCUGCUCGUACUUCCUCGUCUAUCUACUCUUUCCAAGACAAUUUUUGGUACCACCAAUGAUUAUAAAUAUUAUUAUAUUGAUAAUCUCCAUCGAUGGUUGUCCACUGACAAACAUAAUAGAUGUCAUCGAUAUUUUGGGCAGUGCUUGUCCACUGCCAAACGUUACUGUCAUCUUGGAUAUGUUUCGUAGACCUUGUCGUGGUCGCGGAGCUUUUCGUGGAAACGUUAGAUCCACAGACAAUCGUAUAAGGAGAGAGAGAAAGUGGAAGAGCAAAUUCAUCUAGCCUCUUGAGUGUUAGUAGCACAAAAAGUGCGAUUAGUCUGGUGCCUUCAGAGUAAGAUGAGGAGGUUAUAAUAGAGGAUCGCGAGAAGUGCGAAGUAUUAAAAGCGGGAAGAAGCUAUUAUGCUUCUUCAAUUAGAGGACGAAGUGUAGUGGGUAAACUUCGUAAGAAGGUGAAUCCAGACGUCAGUCACAUGCGCAUUUUGGGGCAAGGCCAACAAGAAAGAGAGACCUCUUUAUACAAAUCAGAGUAGUACCGUCGGUGGACCGAAGAGUUACUUUACUGUCUUACACAGAAAGCUGAUGUGCAGCAGAGGCUGCAAGAUGUUCUCUAGAAGCAGAAAAGUAGGAAGAUGAUUGUCUUAGGACCAAAUAAGCGAGGGAUGAAGCUCGCUGUUGUGAUCACCGAACAGAAUGUAGUGGAUCAUCUGGUGAAAUUGGGGUACAUCCAGAUUGGAUUUAUGAGUUGCCCAGUCAGGAGAAUGUGUAUGGUGGUACGAUACCUUCGUUGUCCUGGACAUGACCAGAUAGGAUUAGUUUGUAAGGCAGCUAACAGAUCGAAUUUGUACUUCAAGUGUGGAUUAGUCGAUCAUAAGUUUGCGAACUGUAAAAGGAGCCCAAGCUGUUUUCAAUGUAAGGAAAAGUUUGGAGAAAGCGUAAGCCUCGUCACAGGCAGUGAAGGAUGCCGCUUCUUCAGGUCGGCCCUCGAAGAGGCCAAGAAUUCGCUAGAACUAAGAACAUAUAAGACUAAAAGAAGAAUUUAUGGAACUGUAGAUAGGAGCGUUAAGUAGUGUCAGAUAGUUCAAUUACAUAAUUAUAGUUGAUCUACGUGUCUAUUGGCUUAGCUCUAUGACUAUAAGAUCUGUAAGAUCUUACAUUAAUUAUUUUUUCACUUUAUGUAAUAAUUUCGAUUUCUCUUCUAAUUUUUUCUAUUGUAUUUUUAUUUAUAUUAUCUAAUAUAGUUUUAUUUUUUAAUUCACUUUCCAUUUAGAGUUAAUUCUCUUCUUUAAGUAGAGAAGCUCAGGAUUUAAGAAUCGGAUUAUACUGAAAAGAUAAGAUUCUAGUGGUUACAAUCCCUUUUUUGAAAACGACACACUGUGAAAUAAAGUGUACCUUGUGGUUGCUUAUAAUUUUAGUUUCCUCAUUGAGAUUAGGGUAGUUUACCUACUUAGAGCUGCUGAAGUUCCCUAAUACGGAUCAUCAAUUAAAAAUUAUAAGAUUGAAGAAUGUAAUUUAUAAUUAUAAGUUCCCAAAAAAUAUUACACUGGACAAAUAUAAUACAGAAGUCUUGAAAUUAAAAAUAGAUUUGUUUUAUAGAGACAAGAUUUGUGGAAGUUUAGGCUGAGUUACCAAUAUUCAGAAAAUCAAUGUAACUGAUUGAAAUGAUAUUAAAAGUUAAUAAAAGGGAAAAAUUAAUCUAGAAGUUUUUACAAAUUCGUUAAAUAAGUAAGAUUACAACACUCUAUAAUAAGAUUAAUCUCUAUUAUCUGUAGUUUCGGAGAUUGAAACACUUAAACAGAGUGUAGUAAAUAUCCGCCUACAUAGUCAUAAAUAUUUUUCCAGCAAAAAAUAAAAAGGGGAUGAAAAGUCGAUGGAUCCUUCCCCUUUAAGAUGUCCAUUAAUUUUUUAUCUAGACUUAUCAAAUAUUUAUUGACCAUUUAGUAUUUAUCUUCUAUUAAUGACACUUAAUAAUUAUCGUCUAUUUUCAAGUACCCCUUCCUCCAUCAAAAUUAUUUGAGUAAAAACUAAAGUUUGUAUAAGUGCAGAAAAAUAAAUAGACUUUUAUUAUCUUUAAAUAUGUAAAAUAAAAUAUUUUAUUUUAAUUUUAAUUAAACAGCUUACAAUGAAUUACAAAUGUGGGAUAUUACUUUUGUUUUAUGUUGAUACUAGCAACUUUAAUAUUUUAAGGUAGCUUUUCUCCAGAAACGUGAAGGAAUGGCUUAAUGAUCCUUAACGAUGCUACAACUUAGAAGGGACUAGGAGACAAAAUUUUCAAGAUGACUGGGCUAUCAUGGGAAAGUGAUCUCGUUAAGAAAGUGGGAAGUUAAUGAUUAUUUGCACUAGACAAUGUGUGGAUUACAGAACAAUAAUCUAGGGGCUAAUUUUGGUGACGUAAACGAUCUUCCUUCGUAGAAAUUUUCUUUAUUUUCGAGAAAAGGUAUAUUUCCAAGUAUUUUAGGUUGUCUCUGUUAUCUAGUCACUGUGUUAUAAAAUUGUAGUUUAUAGAAUAAUAUAAUUUUUACUUUCAAGCUUUGUUUAAAUACAGCUUUUUGGUGGUAAUUCACUUUUAAUAAAAAAAAGGGAAAUCUCGGACUGUUACAUUACAUAAAAUCUGUGUGAAUUGCUAACGUAAAACAUGCGAAGUCCUGAGGGCAAUAUCAAAACCCGUAUUUUUUCCUCCAUAUAUAUAUAUGAGACGCGUUGAUAUAUCUCUGCAUUUAUUAAUAAUAAAUUUUACUCCGUGCGGUGAAAGGCGCAAGAGCUUCCGGACGAAAAUUGAUUGUAGAAACAGGCGGAUUCCGCAUACUGUCAGCGGAAGUAUAAAAAUCCACAUUCCCGGACGCUAUCAUGUUUUCUAUGAGAGAGAAAAAGAUUGCAAUGACUGCAAUGAAAGAGAGAAAGAAAGGAGGAGAAUAUAGAGGCAUUUGAGAUCGACUGAAGAGGAAAUAAGAGGGUGUCUUGGGGACGUCGUAUAGACGGUUGUGUAUUAGUGGAUGAGAUGAGGGUACGAAAACGAGGGUGAAAAUGCGAAGGGAAACUUGAAUGAGGAACGAAAUGUUGCUCGAAAAUCCACUGUGGUUAGUGGUUCUGCUUUUUUUUAUAGAGAAUGCCCUUUCUGUCACGUUAAAGGCUCAUUAAUCGAGGAAAUGUAGAAGAAAUCACAAAUGUCUUAUUAGAGAUCUUUUAUCUCCAUUAAACAAAGUGUGUAUAAAAAAAAAUUUAAAGUGUUUUUUAACUGCAUUUUAUCGUUCAUUUUCAUUUUUCAUUUGCAUUUUUGAGAAUGAUCAGAUUUUACAAAAAUCUAAUAGACGUUAUACAAUACAAAGUCAAGUAAAUAUCUUGAACACAAUAAUAAGGAUUAUAUUACCAACCUUUUAAUAAAUUUGACAUCGUUUAAGAGCGAUCUUCUUAGUGACUUUUUCACAAAUUAAUUUGUAUCUGUGUAACAGAAAGUCAUAUAUUUUCUUGAAGAUUCAAUUACGUGAUAUGAAAACUACAAUCAAGUUAACAGACUAAUUGGUUUAGGCAGACUUCCUCUAGAUUAUUUGUGUUGAGAUCAAUAAGCCUCCUAAAUUUAUAGAGCACGAAACAAAUGGGCUUGAAAUCAACGUGGUAUUUAUCUAAAAAUUUAAAUUUGUAAGGCAACAGACAUUUGGAUGAAUCAUCCAGUUCUUUAUAAUCGUACUCAAUUUACACUUUAUUUCUCAGUCGUAUAGUCACAAUUUUUCUUUUCCCUUUGUAAUGAAUGUUAUCUUGGUAUUUUUUUCACAACAUAGCUUAAUCUUAAGCAUAUAUUAUUUAAAUGUAGGAGAAGAUGUUCUUGUAAAGACGCGUUUAAAACGAUUUACAUGAAAAAAAGAACGUCAAAAGUUUUCUCGACCCAUUUCGUGAGAUAAAGCAAAAACAGACUAACUGGAUUGUUGUAGAAAUGGGCAGGGCUUUGUCGCGAGCUUUAUAAUCACAUUUGAGAAAAUUAUCGUUCGCGAGAGGAUGAGAAGCUUUCUUUAGAGACAAGCGUAUCACUAUAUGUACGCAGCUUUUCCGGGCAAGCAUUGUGGUUAUGUGUUUUCUCGUAAAACAACGAUAAACUUUCGAGACGACACUAACGCGGGCAAAAGAUCGAGGUUAACUGGUGAACAUUUUUGCCUAGCGUAUUUUGGUGCUUCUUUUAAAAUUUUUUUCGCUCCAACAGUCACUGGCAACCAAAAUGGCUCUUUGUGUUUGUGGAAAUGUAAACUAUAUGAAUAUUGUAUUUUUAAUUUCAAAAGAAUUAAAGAAUAAAGUUUUUGUUAUUUUCUUUCGUAAAUUAUGGAUUUUUUGAUAAUUCGUGGUGCAUUAUAUUUGGAUGUGAAUCUCGAAUAUUCAAGAGCGCCAAGAAGAUGAAAACUAUUUUGUUUUGGUCCUGUUCUGUCAUCGCAUGGAAGACUAUAGAUAAAAAUAUAAAAAUUGGGACGUCUUAAAUUAAAUCAAACUUAAAUAAUAAUUCUUGAACAAUUAAAAGAUUCACUUUUGCAUUUGUCAAAAAAUAUUUAAAGUGUAUCUGUUUAAUAUUUGAUACAUUCGGUAGUACAUUUUUAUAUUUUAACCUCGUUUUCUUCAAUUCUUUAUCUCCAGACAUUCUUUUCGCGACUUUUUUCUUCAACUGGCAAAACGAAUCCGAUUUGGUGGGACGCGAAAAAUUGAUUUACUUGAGAAGUUGCAAAUGUGGCUGAAGAAAAGUCGGGUCUCUCUCAUGUCCGUCUAACAUCGGUGUUCAAUGACCCGAAAUACUGCAGUUUCGUGAACUUCGACUUCCUUCCAGAGAGACCGAUAAAAAUAGAAGAAAAGUAUCCUUGAAUUCUUCCACCGCAUAUUCUCUAGGUGGACAUUGAUGUUACUGCAAAGGUGACGAAAUAUUUAAUGGCUCGACGAAAGUCAAUAUUGUCUUUUGCUUAUACAUUUGCGUCGAAAGGACCUCAUCGAUCAAAUUCACAAUCCCCCCCUUUGCUAUAUCAAGUCAAGUGUGUUGAAACUGCGAUUAUAUUGAUACCAGGAUUAUGCUUGUCAAAGAGACAAAAUUAAAAAGGGGAAAAUUUCUUAUUAAAACUGUUUGUCAACUUAGUUACAAAAAGGAUAAGCUAAUCCGUAAAUCUUUGCAGAUUUAAAAUAUUAAAAAUUUUAAAUCUCCCAGUAACCAUUUAUUCACUUUUUUCGACAAAUUCGCGUACCGUUGAAUUUUAAAUGCUAUUUAUUCAUUCCUUGCUAAAUUAUUCAUAUUGGAAUUUAUGAAUAUUGAACAGAAAUUAGAUGUACGAAAGAAAGAAAUUUUUUGAAAUAUGAUGAUACUUUUUGCAAGAUAAAUAUAGUAUUAUAAAUUACUUUGCAAUGUUCUAAAAAUAAUUAUAAAAACUCGAUACACAAUUUUCUAUUUUUUUUAAUUUUGCAAGUGUCACGUCAUCGUGACUUUUCUUAAAAUUAUAUGUAAAAUAUUGUGUACUUAUAUGUCUAUCAAAAACCUUUUUGUCAGUCAAGAUCCGCCACCGAAAUUAUACUCAUCGUCUUUGUAAAAAUUAUAUCAGUGCUGUUGAGCGAAUAAAUUCUGCUCGUAUCCAAUUUCUUGACUCCUGGGCACUCCUUUCUAAAUUCUACGUUACCCUGUUUAUAAAAUAACCAACGCUCAGACAACACACAUCCAACGUUUCGGUAACGCUCAGACAACCCUCAUCCAACGUUCAACUAACGCUUGGGAAGCGUUACUCAACGCUCAAGGAACUUUCCAUCAACAGGUCGUGCCAAGGAUCAACCAGGAUUGGGCCACCCUCACCAAUCAAUAGUUUUCCUGCAUCCAAUUGACUUAAGUCUACACAAAGAAUACACUUAUAAUGUGGAAAUCAAUAGGACGGACCAAGUUCGAGUUGUCAAUUCCAAAGAUUCUUGUCAAGGUUCAUUUUGUAAUUGAGAAAAUAAACGUGUCAGCAUUCA